CCUCAGCGACGGACCGGGC
rnacentral:sRNA from 1 species